UACGAAGGGGGCUAGCGUUGCUCGGCAUCACUGGGCGUAAAGGGUGCGUAGGCGGGUCUUUAAGUCAGGGGUGAAAUCCUGGAGCUCAACUCCAGAACUGCCUUUGAUACUGAAGAUCUUGAGUUCGGGAGAGGUGAGUGGAACUGCGAGUGUAGAGGUGAAAUUCGUAGAUAUUCGCAAGAACACCAGUGGCGAAGGCGGCUCACUGGCCCGAUACUGACGCUGAGGCACGAAAGCGUGUGGAGCAAACAGG
rnacentral:rRNA from 1 species